AUUGAACGCUGGCGGCAGGCCUAACACAUGCAAGUCGAACGAGUGGCGGACGGGUGAGUAAUGUCUGGGAAACUGCCUGAUGGAGGGGGAUAACUACUGGAAACGGUAGCUAAUACCGCAUACCAUCAGAUGUGCCCAGAUGGGAUUAGCUAGUUGGUGGGGUAACGGCUCACCAAGGCGACGAUCCCUAGCUGGACUGAGAGGAUGACCAGCCACACGGGAACUGAGACACGGUCCAGAGUCCUACGGUAGGUAGGAGGGGGGAAUACUGCACAAUGGGCGCAAGCCUGAUACAGCCAUGCCGCGUGUAUGAAGAAGGCCUUCGGGUUGUAAAGUACUUUCAGCGGGGAGGCGUUACGCGCAUAAGAAGCAACGGCUAACUCCGUGCCAGCAGCCGCGGUAAUAC
rnacentral:rRNA from 1 species